rnacentral:lncRNA from 1 species
AGAUAAAAUUGAAGAAUAUUGACUUUAAGAUAAUUGCCCUUCUGAAAAAGAAAGGGGGAGUCAAAAAGAAUCUAGCUUUCAAUGAUUUUCAGCAUCAAUAUUUCAUUUUAACUUGAUUCAAAUUCAGUUGAUAUGCUAAAAUUGCUUAAGAGCUAUAAAGUUCAAUCCCAUGCAAUUAUGCACACUGUAUCUAGCUCUAAUCAAAAUAUUAUACUUGUACAUCUGAUCAAAUACUGUGUACAUGUUUAAACUUCGAAUUUUGCAUAUACUCAGUGUUUUGUCAUCAUCAAAAAGGGGGAGAUUGUUGACCCCCUAAUGGAUUUCGAUGAAUACAAAACACUAGAGUAUAAUUCCAUUUAUAUCUUAACAAUUUAUUUGAGGAAUUCAUGUGUUUUAUUAAGAAUAUUGUUAAGAAAUGUCUAGGCAAGUUCCCAUAAUUUUUAUGAAUUUAUUGAAGAAUAUUUUGAGUUAAAGAAAACAGAUCAGGGACAGCCGAGACGUCUCCGGAUAGUCUCAGAGACGUCUCUGGCACAAACAGGAAGAACUGGCACACUUGGAGACGUCCCCGGCACCUACCGAGUCAUCCCCGCGUUAGCGGAGUCGACUCUCUCAGUAGCGGAGUCGACUCUCUCAGUGGCGGCAGAAAGGCAGUUUUCAAGAUAUAUGCGCGAGACGUCCCCACUGUACGCGGAGUCGUCCCCGCAAGUAAAAAGGAGACUUCCCGAGUCGUCCCCAAGAUAGCGGAGACGGCUCUCUCAGGGUUUUCCAGAGAAUGGUUUUUUCGGUGAUAAGGAAGCGGAGUCGACCCUGAGACAGCGGAGUCGUCCCCAUGCAUAAAGUGCAAACAAGCCGAGACGUCCCCUGAAGGAGCGGAGUCGACUCUCUCAGGGAAUUCCAGAGGACAUGUUUUUCGGAGAUAAAGAAGCGGAGUCGUCCCCAGAUCAGCGGAGUCGUCCCCAUUCAAAAAGUGCAAACAAGCC